UACGAAGGGGGCUAGCGUUGCUCGGAAUGACUGGGCGUAAAGGGCGCGUAGGCGGAGUGCUUUGUCGGGCGUGAAAUUCCAGGGCUCAACCUUGGGGCUGCGUUCGAGACGGGUGCUCUUGAGUGGGGAAGAGGGUCGUGGAAUUCCCAGUGUAGAGGUGAAAUUCGUAGAUAUUGGGAAGAACACCGGUGGCGAAGGCGGCGACCUGGUCCUUUUACUGACGCUGAGGCGCGAAAGCCAGGGGAGCGAACGGG
rnacentral:rRNA from 1 species